rnacentral:rRNA from 1 species
AUCGAUGGCACGCCACGCUGACGGCGCCCGAUCUCGUCUGAUCUUGGAAGCAAAGCAGGGUGGGGCCUGCUUAGUACUUGGACAGGAGAAGGGCCCCUGGCAGGGCGGGAGUCCGUGGAUG